rnacentral:tRNA from 79 species
GCGGGUGUAGCUCAAUGGUAGAGCCCCAGCCUUCCAAGCUGGCCAUGCCGGUUCGAUCCCGGUCACCCGCUCCA